AUAAAACCUUUAAAAAAAAAAAAAAACUCACUGGACUAUGACUCCAGUUGAAGUGCUGAACAGCUUUAUAGGAAACAAUAAAUCUCUCCAGCAGUCUUUUAAGAAAAAAUGUUGACAUUGCAUGAAUUUGUUUAGCAUUUAAAAUCAUAGCUACCAUUUGCUGAGUGUUUACUAUGCUACUGUAUGCCAAGUACAGUGCUGGAUACUCUAGAUACAUUAUCUCUGCUCCUCUCAGAGAAUCACCUGCAAGGUAGGUCUUAUAUACAGGAAUAUACUUAUUCCAAUUCAGAGUAACAACAACAUAGCAAUUGAGCAUAAGUUUAUUUUAGAAAGAAAAAUGAGAAUGGCUGUUAUUUUUUCUGUCCUCUAGGCGUUCAGCCUAUUAAAAACCUGUAGUAAACAUCUUUGGAGGUAUCUUUUAAAAAGCUGAUGCUCACUUUCUUACCUACCAUCCUCCCUGCAGCCAUGGGAUCCUGAUAGCCACUUUAUACAGUGCUUCUGUUUGCUGACCAAAGGGAGAGAAAGGUAGUGGCUCUGACCACAAGAGGGAGGAUGCUAUUCACAGAACCCUCCAGCCGCAUGAAAGCUUGCAGUUGGGAGCAUCGAGAUCACCUCCUCAUCAGGCCGGGGGAGGCUGCAAAGCCGAGAGAGAGCCGCAGUGAGCCCUACAAAGAGGGCCCUUUGAUCUGAGGGUCACAGCAUAGAAGAGGCUGGAAAGCACUACCUCUGAGUCACUCUCCAGGCGUAGAUUAAAGCCAGCUUUGGGGUAAAUACGCAGAAGUGGAAUUGCUGGAUCAUAUGAGCAGACUGGCUGGAUGCAACAUUGUGCUGGUUACCUUGGUCCUGUUGGAGAGAAAACAGACCUAACAGUGUUCAAAACUACCUGCAGAGCUGAGGACCUAUUUUGGCUUUAUGAAUAUAAUCUAUUCAUCAAGUUUAAAGAAGUCUAAAGAUUAGUGGGGAGAGGAGCUGGAUGAAGAGAGAACUUCUGCAAUGAGAAAAUGAGAAGGAACAAAUCUAA